rnacentral:rRNA from 1 species
CCUACGGGUGGCAGCAGUGGGGAAUAUUGCACAAUGGGGGAAACCCUGAUGCAGCGACGCCGCGUGAGUGAAGAAGUAAUUCGUUAUGUAAAGCUCUAUCAGCAGGGAAGAAAAUGACGGUACCUGAGGAAGAAGCCCCGGCUAACUAAGUGCCAGCAGCCGAGGUAAUACGUAGGGGGCAAGCGUUAUCCGGAUUUACGGGGGGUAAAGGGAGCGUAGGCGGCAGUGCAAGUCAGGAGUGAAAUGCGGGUGAUCAACCCCCGGACUGCUCUGGAAACUGUACGGCUGGAGUGCAGGAGAGGUAAGUGGAAUUCCUUGUGUAGCGGUGAAAUCCGUAGAUAUUAGGAGGAACACCAGUGGCGAAGGCGGCUUACUGGACUGUAACUGACGUUGAUGCUCGAAAGCGUGGGGAGCAAACAGGAUUAGAUACCCUGGUAGUC